AGCAGCUCCCCCACACCACAGAGCGAACCAUGGCCCGUAGUUCUAGGCUGGAGCUGGACCUCCCCCACGAGGUAGUGGCUCACAGGCAGGAUAAAAGUGGGAAUCCUGGACGAGACCCGGUGAUUUCCAAACCCCUCUGGAGUGCCAAGCGCGCCGAUUCGUGUCCGUGUGCGUUCCGUGGAGUGAGUUCUGAGUGUGGCGUCAAAUCCUGUCCCACCAGUGACUGAGUUUGUGGCCUGUGACACCCCCCCCCCCACCUUCCCAACUGGAGUAACCAGGAAUUCUGUGUUCUCAAUAUGGCUGUAGUGUUGGUAAAGAACUAAUAAGCAGAAAAAUAAAGCGAUUACCCAGCGGA